AGUGAACGCUGGCGAUAGGCCUAACACAUGAAAGUCGAACGGCAGCACAGUAAGAGCUUGCUCUUACGGGUGGCGAGUGGCGGGCGGGUGAGGAAUACAUCGGAAUCUACUUUUUCGUGGGGGAUAACGUAGGGAAACUUACGCUAAUACCGCAUACGACCUACGGGUGAAAGCAGGGGAUCUUCGGACCUUGCGCGAUUGAAUGAGCCGAUGUCGGAUUAGCUAGUUGGCGGGGUAAAGGCCCACCAAGGCGACGAUCCGUAGCUGGUCUGAGAGGAUGAUCAGCCACACUGGAACUGAGACACGGUCCAGACUCCUACGGGAGGCAGCAGUGGGGAAUAUUGGACAAUGGGCGCAAGCCUGAUCCAGCCAUACCGCGUGGGUGAAGAAGGCCUUCGGGUUGUAAAGCCCUUUUGUUGGGAAAGAAAAGCAGCAGGUUAAUACCCCGCUGUUCUGACGGUACCCAAAGAAUAAGCACCGGCUAACUUCGUG
rnacentral:rRNA from 1 species